UCCUCACCGCCGCUCUCUUCUUUCCUCGCCGCCAGCCUCCACCUCUCCCAUCGGCGCCCAGCAGAUCGACGCCCUCUGUGUUCCCUCUCCCUGGCCACCGUGCCCCGUGCACACCCCCAUGCCUCUGUUCACCUCGGCUGCUCUAGAUGUUGGCACGUACGUCUGCGGCGUCGGUGGAUCUAGCUAUUGCGUCGUGCUCACUCCUCAUGUUCGACGCGGGAGGUGGUGGCAUCAGAUCUUGCCCCGCCUCGCCUGUCGCUACUCACGGCAGGUGGCGCGCUUCAUGGUCAGGAAUCCCCUAUCCUCGCCCCUUCGCCCACACGACACAGGUCAACCUCCCCGCCUCCGCCAUGAUGGCCACCAACAGCGCCGCACCCGUCGCCACGUCGAAGAGGGGCGCCUUCACCAUCUUCCUCUCAGGUGGAUUAUCCAUCUAGGACCUCAGGAAGUCGGGGUAGCCGCCAUACCUGGAGACAGCGGACUGGAGCAAGUUGAAGACGAUCUAGGUUGGCGAGAUGGUCGUCCCAAAGGACCAUGCGGAUAGUAAUUCCAAGCUCGACCCUAGAUGGGUUACACUCGAAGGUUUUCCCCACGAGUUCUUCCUUGACAUAUUCUUCUUCCUGCCACUGCCAGUUCUACCGGUUUAGGGCUUUAAAUCUUACCUAUGGUUAUUUAGGGCAUUUAGAAGACAUAAUUUGUGGCUUGAAGUGAUGGGCGGUUGUGGACAAGUAAGAUUAUACCAUUGCGUGGAUUUCGUAUUUAGCUGAGCAUGUUAACUUUGGAUACAUUUGGAGCUAUAUUUGAGUGUGUAUCCAUGCCUUGAGAGAUUUGGUGAGUAUGAAAGCAUAUGGAUUCUAUCCUGUCAUGAAUUUCUAUAUUAUCUUGUGCAAACUGGCUACACAAGAUCAUAGUUAAACUCAUGCUAUUUAUUUUCA